rnacentral:rRNA from 1 species
UACGAAGGGGGCUAGCGUUAUUCGGAAUCACUGGGCGUAAAGGGCGCGUAGGCGGCCGAUCAAGUCGGGGGUGAAAGCCUGUGGCUCAACCACAGAAUUGCCUUCGAUACUGUUUGGCUUGAGACCGGAAGAGGUAAGUGGAACUGCGAGUGUAGAGGUGAAAUUCGUAGAUAUUCGCAAGAACACCAGUGGCGAAGGCGGCUUACUGGUCCGGUUCUGACGCUGAGGCGCGAAAGCGUGGGGAGCAAACAGG